GACGUAGGAUGCGAGCGUUAUUCGGAUUUAUUGGGCGUAAAGCGUGCGUAGGCGGCUAUUUAAGUCUGGUGUUAAAGCUAGGGGCUCAACCCCUGUGAUGCACUGGAUACUGGGUAGCUUGAGUGCGGUAGGGGAAGGUGGAAUUCCGAGUGUAGCGGUGAAAUGCGUAGAUAUUCGGAAGAACACCGGUGGCGAAGUCGGCCUUCUGGGCCGCAACUGACGCUGAGGCACGAAAGCCUGGGGAGCGAACGGG
rnacentral:rRNA from 1 species